GGGCGUGUGGCUCAGUGGUAGAGCGUCCGCUUUGCAUUACACAAUGGUUUGCGGAAGGUCCGGGUUUCGAUCACCCGCCCGUCCA